rnacentral:rRNA from 1 species
GACGAACGCUGGCGGCGUGCCUAAUACAUGCAAGUCGAACGCUUCUUUCCUCCCGAGUGCUUGCACUCAAUUGGAAAGAGGAGUGGCGGACGGGUGAGUAACACGUGGGUAACCUACCCAUCAGAGGGGGAUAACACUUGGAAACAGGUGCUAAUACCGCAUAACAGUUUAUGCCGCAUGGCAUAAGAGUGAAAGGCGCUUUCGGGUGUCGCUGAUGGAUGGACCCGCGGUGCAUUAGCUAGUUGGUGAGGUAACGGCUCACCAAGGCCACGAUGCAUAGCCGACCUGAGAGGGUGAUCGGCCACACUGGGACUGAGACACGGCCCAGACUCCUACGGGAGCAGCAGUAGGGAAUCUUCGGCAAUGGACGAAAGUCUGACCGAGCAACGCCGCGUGAGUGAAGAAGGUUUUCGGAUCGUAAAACUCUGUUGUUAGAGAAGAACAAGGACGUUAGUAAC